CUGGUAGUCCAUGCCGUAAACGUUGGGCACUAGGUGUGGGGGACAUUCCACGUUUUCCGCGCCGUAGCUAACGCAUUAAGUGCCCCGCCUGGGGAGUACGGCCGCAAGGCUAAAACUCAAAGGAAUUGACGGGGGCCCGCACAAGCGGCGGAGCAUGCGGAUUAAUUCGAUGCAACGCGAAGAACCUUACCAAGGCUUGACAUGAACCGGUAAUACCUGGAGACAGGUGCCCCGCUUGCGGUCGGUUUACAGGUGGUGCAUGGUUGUCGUCAGCUCGUGUCGUGAGAUGUUGGGUUAAGUCCCGCAACGAGCGCAACCCUCGUUCUAUGUUGCCAGCACGUGAUGGUGGGGACUCAUAGGAGACUGCCGGGGUCAACUCGGAGGAAGGUGGGGACGACGUCAAAUCAUCAUGCCCCUUAUGUCUUGGGCUUCACGCAUGCUACAAUGGCCGGUACAAAGGGUUGCGAUACUGUGAGGUGGAGCUAAUCCCAAAAAGCCGGUCUCAGUUCGGAUUGGGGUCUGCAACUCGACCCCAUGAAGUCGGAGUCGCUAGUAAUCGCAGAUCAGCAACGCUGCGGUGAAUACGUUCCCGGGCCUUGUACACACCGCCCGUCAAGUCACGAAAGUUGGUAACACCCGAAGCCGGUGGCCUAACCCCUUGUGGGAGGGAGCUGUCGAAGGUGGGACUGGCGAUUGGGACUAAGUCGUA
rnacentral:rRNA from 1 species